CUCUAAUGGUCAUGUUCUGAUGCCAGAAUACUGUCAAACAGGUAUAGCAUCAUAAAGCACAGUUGCAUAUGCCGUGGUUUAAACUAGUGUUCUUAUGACAUGAAAAGCUCAACAAAAACAAUGUUUUAGUGUUUAUGCAUUGGUUUCAUUCAGAACAGCCUCUAAUGGUCAUGUUCUGAUGCCAGAAUACUUUCAACUAGCUCAAUGCUUCCUAAAUGUGCAGUUGCAUUGCCGUGGUUUGAACUAGUGCUCAAAAACGAUGUUUUAGUGUUAAGGCAUUGAUUUCUAACAUUAUAGCUUAAGAUGGUCAUGUUCUGAUGCCAGGCAGCUUAAAAACAGCUCAAUACAACAUGAAAGCACAGUUGCAUAUGCCGUGGUUUAAACUAGUGUUUCUACAGCCUGAAAAGCUCAAAAACGAUGUUUUAGUGUUUAAGCAUUAG
rnacentral:lncRNA from 1 species